rnacentral:rRNA from 1 species
ACUCAAAUGAAUUGACGGGGGCCCGCACAAGCGGUGGAGCAUGUGGUUUAAUUCGACGCAACGCGCAGAACCUUACCAGCCCUUGACAUGUCUAUGACCGGUACCAGAGAUGGAACCUUCCCUUCGGGGCAUAGAGCACAGGUGCUGCAUGGCUGUCGUCAGCUCGUGUCGUGAGAUGUUGGGUUAAGUCCCGCAACGAGCGCAACCCCCGUCCUUAGUUGCUACCAUUUAGUUGAGCACUCUAAGGAGACUGCCGGUGAUAAGCCGCGAGGAAGGUGGGGAUGACGUCAAGUCCUCAUGGCCCUUACGGGCUGGGCUACACACGUGCUACAAUGGCGGUGACAAUGGGAAGCAAAAGGGCAACCUCUCGCAAAUCUCAAAAAGCCGUCUCAGUUCGGAUUGGGCUCUGCAACUCGAGCCCAUGAAGUUGGAAUCGCUAGUAAUCGUGGAUCAGCAUGCCACGGUGAAUACGUUCCCGGGCCUUGUACACACCGCCCGU